rnacentral:rRNA from 1 species
GAUAAACGCUGGCGGCGUGCCUAACACAUGCAAGUCGAACGCUCUGAGUAAUCAGAGAGUGGCGGACGGGUGAGUAACACGUGGGCAAUCUACCCCGAGGUGAGGAAUACCAGCGAGAAAUCGCUGACAAUACCGCAUAUGCUCUGCAAAGAGCAAAGUCUGCAAAGACGCCUCAGGAUGAGCCUGCGCUCGAUUAGUUGGUUGGNGGGGUAAUGGCCUACCAAGACUGCGAUCGAUAGCUGGUCUGAGAGGACGAUCAGCCACACUGGGAUUGAGAACGGCCCAGACUCC